rnacentral:rRNA from 1 species
CAGCCGCCGCGGGAAUACGUAGGUGGCAAGCGUUGUCCGGAAUUAUUGGGCGUAAAGCGCGCGCAGGUGGUUUAAUAAGUCUGAUGUGAAAGCCACGGCUCAACCGUGGAGGGUCAUUGGAAACUGUUAAACUUGAGUGCAGGAGAGAAAAGUGGAAUUCCUAGUGUAGCGGUGAAAUGCGUAGAGAUUAGGAGGAACACCAGUGGCGAAGGCGGCUUUUUGGCCUGUAACUGACACUGAGGCGCGAAAGCGUGGGGAGCAAACAGGAUUAGAUACCCCUGUAGUCCCUGUCUCUUAUACA